rnacentral:rRNA from 1 species
GACGAACGCUGGCGGCGUGCCUAAUACAUGCAAGUCGAACGCAGUGGGGACGGGUGAGUAACACGUGGGUAACCUCCCAUCAGAGGGGAUAACACUUGGAAACAGGUGCUAAACCGAUCCUGAUGGAUGGACCCGCGGUGCAUUAGCUAGUUGGUGAGGUAACGGCUCACCAAGGCCACGAUGCAUAGCAGCGCUGAGAGGGAGAUCGGCCACACUGGGAAUGAGAAACGGCCCAGACUCCGACGGGAGGAAGCAGUAGGGAAUAUUGGGCAAUGGACGAAAGUCUGACCGAGCAACGACGCGUGAGUGAAGAAGGUUUUCGGAUCGUAAAACUCUGUUGUUAGAGAAGCGGUAUCUAACCAGAAAGACACGGCUAACUACGUGCCAGCAGCCGCGGUAAUAC